CGCUGGCGGCAGCCUAAACAUGCAAGUCGAACGCUCACCGGGGUUUCGGUUCUGGUGGGAGUGGCGCACGGGUGAGUAGCGCGUGGGAACCUGCCCUUUUGUGGGGGAUAACCGAGGGAAACUUCGGCUAAUACCGCAUGCGCCCCUGGGGUGACCUGGGGGGAAAGAUUGAUCGCAGGAGGAGGGGCCCGCGUCGGAUUAGGUAGUUGGUGGGGUAACGGCCUACCAAGCCGAUGAUCCGUAGCUGGUCUGAGAGGAUGAUCAGCCACACUGGGACUGAGACACGGCCCAGACUCCUACGGGAGGCAGCAGUGGGGAAUAUUGGACAAUGGGCGCAAGCCUGAUCCAGCAAUGCCGCGUGAGUGAUGAAGGCCUUCGGGUUGUAAAGCUCUUUCGCCCGCGACGAUGAUGACGGUAGCGGGAGAAGAAGCCCCGGCUAACUUCGUGCCAGCAGCCGCGGUAAUACGAAGGGGGCGAGCGUUGUUCGGAAUCACUGGGCGUAAAGGGCGCG
rnacentral:rRNA from 1 species